AUUGAACGCUGGCGGCAGGCCUAACACAUGCAAGUCGAACGGUAGCACAGAGAGCUUGCUCUCGGGUGACGAGUGGCGGACGGGUGAGUAACGUCUGGGAAACUGCCCGAUGGAGGGGGAUAACUACUGGAAACGGUAGCUAAUACCGCAUAACGUCGCAAGACCAAAGUGGGGGACCUUCGGGCCUCACACCAUCGGAUGUGCCCAGAUGGGAUUAGCUAGUAGGUGGGGUAAUGGCUCACCUAGGCGACGAUCCCUAGCUGGUCUGAGAGGAUGACCAGCCACAAUGGAACUGAGGCACGGUCCAGACUCCUACGGGAGGCAGCAGUUGGGAAUAUUGCACAAUGGGCGCAAGCCUGAUGCAGCCAUGCCGCGUGUAUGAAGAAGGCCUUCGGGUUGUAAAGUACUUUCAGCGGGGAGGAAGGCGGUGAAGUUAAUAACUUCACCGAUUGACGUUACCCGCAGAAGAAGCACCGGCUAACUCCGUGCCAGCAGCCGCCGUAA
rnacentral:rRNA from 1 species